rnacentral:rRNA from 1 species
AUUGAACGCUGGCGGCAGGCUUAACACAUGCAAGUCGAACGAGUGGCGGACGGGUGAGUAAUGCUUGGGAAUCUAGCUUAUGGAGGGGGAUAACUACGGGAAACUGUAGCUAAUACCGCUUACCAUAGGAUGAGCCCAAGUGGGCUUAGGUAGUGGGUGAGGUAAAGGCGCACCAAGCCGACGAUCUCUAGCUGGUCUGAGAGGAGGACCAGCCACACUGGGACUGAGACACGGCCAAGACUCCUAGGGGAGGCAGAAGUGGGGAAUAUUGGGCAAUGGGGGCAACCUGACGCAGCCAGGCCGCGUGAAUGAAGAAGGCUUUCGGGUUGUAAAGUUCGUUCGGUAGCGAGGCGUUAACUACAGAAGAAGCACCGGCUAACUCCGUGCCAGCCGCCGCGGUAAUUC